rnacentral:rRNA from 1 species
UACGUAGGGUGCAAGCGUUAAUCGGAAUUACUGGGCGUAAAGCGUGCGCAGGCGGUUUUGUAAGCCAGAUGUGAAAUCCCCGGGCUUAACCUGGGAAUGGCAUUUGGGACUGCAAGGCUCGAGUGCGGCAGAGGAGACUGGAAUUCCUGGUGUAGCAGUGAAAUGCGCAGAUAUCAGGAGGAACACCGGUGGCGAAGGCGGGUCUCUGGGCCGAUACUGACGCUGAGGAGCGAAAGCGUGGGGAGCGAACAGG